rfam:Dipodomys ordii contig_28499, whole genome shotgun sequence.
GGGAAGGUGGCUCAGUGGUAGAGUGCUUGCCUCACAUGCAUGAGUCCCUGGGUUCAAUUCCUCAGCACCCU